UACGAAGGGGGCUAGCGUUGCUCGGAAUCACUGGGCGUAAAGCGCACGUAGGCGGCUUUCUAAGUCAGGGGGUGAAAUCCUGGAGCUCAACUCCAGAACUGCCUUUGAUACUGGAGAGCUCGAGUCCGGAAGAGGUGAGUGGAACUCCGAGUGUAGAGGUGAAAUUCGUAGAUAUUCGGAAGAACACCAGUGGCGAAGGCGACUUACUGGACACAUAUUGACGCUGAGGUGCGAAAGCGAUGG
rnacentral:rRNA from 1 species